GGACGAACGCUGGCGGCGUGCUUAACACAUGCAAGUCGAGCGGUAAGGCCCUUUCGGGGGUACACGAGCGGCGAACGGGUGAGUAACACGUGGGUGACCUGGCCCUCAGCUCUGGGACUAAGCCUGGGAAACCGGGUCUAAUACUGGAUAUGAACUCCAUGACGCAUGUUGGUGGGGUGGAAAGCCUUGUGCGGCUGAGGAUGGGCCCGCGGCCUAUCAGCUUGUUGGUGGGGUGAUGGCCUACCAAGGCGACGACGGGUAGCCGGCCUGAGAGGGCGACCAGCCACACUGGGACUGAGACACGGCCCAGACUCCUACGGGAGGCAGCAGUGGGAAUCUUGCGCAAUGGGCGAAAGCCUGACGCAGCGACGCGCGUGA
rnacentral:rRNA from 1 species